rnacentral:rRNA from 1 species
CGUAGGGUGCGAGCGUUGUCCGGAAUUAUUGGGCGUAAAGAGCUUGUAGGCGGUUUGUCACGUCGGGAGUGAAAACUCGAGGCUUAACCUCGAGCCUGCUUUCGAUACGGGCUGACUUGAGGAAGGUAGGGGAGAAUGGAAUUCCUGGUGAAGCGGUGGAAUGCGUAGAUAUCAGGAGGAACACCAGUGGCGAAGGCGGUUCUCUGGACCUUUCCUGACGCUGAGAAGCGAAAGCGUGGGGAGCAAACAGGCUU